CACACCGCCCGUCACACCAUGGGAGUCAGUUGCUCCAGAAGUGGCUUGCCCAACCCGCAAGGGGAGGCGGCCCUAAGGAGUGGCUGGUGACUGGGGUG
rnacentral:rRNA from 1 species